UACGAAGGGGGCUAGCGUUGCUCGGAAUCACUGGGCGUAAAGGGUGCGUAGGCGGGGCUUUAAGUCAGGGGUGAAAUCCUGGAGCUCAACUCCAGAACUGCCUUUGAUACUGAGGAUCUUGAGUUCGGGAGAGGUGAGUGGAACUGCGAGUGUAGAGGUGAAAUCCGUAGAUAUUCGCAAGAACACCAGUGGCGAAGGCGGCUCACUGGCCCGAUACUGACGCUGAGGCACGAAAGCGUGGGGAGCAAACAGG
rnacentral:rRNA from 1 species